UACGUAGGGGGCAAGCGUUGUUCGGAUUCAUUGGGCGUAAAGGGUGCGUAGGCGGCGCGGUAAGUCGGGUGUGAAAUCUUGGAGCUUAACUCCGAAACUGCAUUCGAUACUGCCGUGCUUGAGGACUGGAGAGGAGACUGGAAUUUACGGUGUAGCGGUGAAAUGCGUAGAUAUCGUAAGGAAGACCAGUGGCGAAGGCGGGUCUCUGGACAGUUCUGACGCUGAGGCACGAAGGCCAGGGGAGCAAACGGG
rnacentral:rRNA from 1 species